AAGUCGUAACAAGGUAACCGUAGGUGAACCUGCGGUUGGAUCAUUAAUAAAUUUAUUAAAGGUUUGAAUGGGUUUUUAGGGGGUUGUUAAAAAGAUGCCCUAUAAACCUUUUUUCAAACUCUUUAAACAAAUUUGUGAACUUUAUUAAAGUCUUUUGGGGUUAAUAAUUUUUUAUUGACCCCAAUCAUUUUCUAAACAAAUAUUUCUUUAACAAAAAUAUGCCUUUAAAACCUAUUUUUUUUUAUUAAAAAUAAUUUAAUUUAAAAAACAACUUUUGACAACGGAUCUCUUGGCUCUC
rnacentral:misc_RNA from 1 species